rnacentral:tRNA from 1 species
CGGGGCGUAGCGCAGUCUGGUUAGCGCGCUUGGUUCGGGACCAUGAGGUCGGAAGUUCAAAUCUUCUCGCCCCGACCA